GGAAUUAUGCCCGAAUGUUUAAGGACCACUUUGAUAGAGUGAUAAAUGAGGGUUCAAGUCCCCCUAAUUCCU
rnacentral:tRNA from 1 species